GUGGGUAGGCUAUUUCUAUCUCUCUCUCUCUCUCUCUCUCUCUCUCUCUCUCACACACACACACACACACAGAGAGAGAGAGAGAGAGAGAGAGAGAGAAAGUGAGAGUGCUGCUGUUA